AUUGAACGCUGGCGGCAGGCCUAACACAUGCAAGUCGAACGAGUGGCGGACGGGUGAGUACUGUCUGGGCAACUGCCCGAUGGAGGGGGAUAACUACUGGAAAGGGUAGCUAAUACCGCAUACCAUCGGAUGUGCCCAGAUGGGAUUAGCGAGUUGGGUGGGUAACGGCUCACCUAGGCGACGAUCCCUAGUUGGUCUGAGAGGAUGACCAGCCACACGGGAACUGAGACACGGUCCAGACUCCUACGGGAGGCAGCAGUGGGGAAUAUUGCACAAUGGGCGCAAGCCUGAUACAGCCAUGCCGCGUGUAUGAAGAAGGCCUUAGGGUUGUAAAGUACUUUCAGCGGGGAGGCGUUACCCGCAGAAGAAGCACCGGCUAACUCCGUGCCAGCAGCCGCGGUAAUUC
rnacentral:rRNA from 1 species